ACCCCGAGGUAUCUUUUCAAAAGAGUUCGCUAAUAAGUACAAAAGUAUUACUUGACAAGUUAAAAUGUCCCGUUUAGACAAAGUUUGGGUCUAAAUUUACAUAAUGUGCGUUAAUUUUCAUUCAUUUUCAACGACUUAAUGAUUGUAUAACUAUAAACCUAAAAACAACUAUUGAGAAAGUGUACGUUAAAAAUAUUUUUACUUUAAAUGUUCUGAUUACAACGAGGGCCAAAAGAAACCUAGCCUACUCAAAAGGUUGCACGCUUGCGCACGUUUUAAUAAUUUAGGUGGCGUCCAGACGCUAGCCGUAUGGAACCAGGCACGACAGAAAAACGUGAAGUGCAAUAAACACAAGGUAGGCCUACUGUUUACCUUCAUAAACAUCUGAGGGCAGAUCUGUAGAGGAAGUGAACUUGUACAAUGACAUCAUUUCUACAAAGGAAGGAACCCCCCGUUGUAGAAUAGCGCGAGUUUUGGGGGACAAAGGCCACUGCAGCACCGUCAAAGGACCCAUAAUAGUCAAUCGAUCAUCAUGCGCUAUUCUACACAUUACUCCAAGCAAUAAUUUGCCUGGGAGUGCACCGUUACCAAUCCCCCCAUUUCCAUCUCUGUAGUAAUGUUUUAAAUCCUUUCUUUUCAUCUGCAUCUGUCAACCCAGUGGUGCGCUGUUUGAUCUCUUCCCCCAUUCCGCCUUUGCCUCCCCGGGGUCGCGUUGACCUGUUGAUUGGCAGCUGGGCUCAGACAUAUGGUGAAACGAGGCAUCGACCGGUGCUCCCGGGAGAGAUAGGCAGUCCGUGAGUGAUUUUUUUUUCUUCUGCGGGAAGACGGCAACGGAGGCCAGGCGGAACAACAGCGCUGCAGUGCUUCUGGUUAAGACUCAAGGAGAUCAGCCACUUCUUUCCCAAGCAAGCAAACACCCGAAAUUAAACACAUUGGAAACCAACACGUAGAGCUAAAGAUGCAAUAUAGAAGACAAACACCCCCACCCGUGUCCUACUAGGCCAAAGCAAUAGAGCAGGCUGAAGGGCAAAUUCAGAUAUUUUAUUAGCCCUGUCAUAUUGUAAUUGACCCAACUGUAAACAGACAGAACGGGCUUAAUUAAGAAUUUUUGAGCGGGGAUACAGUCAAGUCCGGAAACAUUAGGGCGAAGCAACUGGGUGUCGUAAAGAUUGAUUGAUUGAGAGUGAGAGAGAGAGAGGAUGGAAGGAUGAGGUAGAGGUAUAGGGAAGGGAGGAAGUGAAGGGGGGGGGGGGGGCAGGGAUGGGGGGGGGGGGCAGGGUUAGCGUAGCACACCACGGAGGUGUAUUCAUCUGUUGCUCCGGACAGUGUGUGGCGACGGGUUUGGAAAGAUAGAGGCGAACGAUUUUUAAUGCAUUAGCCACCUGGACGUGUAGGGCAAUAACCGUAGCCAGAUCCGGGCCUAAAAUGUUUGACAUCCUGCGCGGAGAUCGACGGCCCCAGCUCUGCUCAUUAGCCGGGCAGAUGUGCCCGUGCCCGCGCAUCCGCCCGCCCUGCCGCCAGGAUAGAUAAUGCUCACGCACACCCCGUCGGUGAGAUAACACCCCCCCGCCCCCCGAACACACGGGCGCAGGGACACGCUCGAACGCGAGGUCCGCCUGGCCGGACCGAGGAGGAACCGUCGAUCACCGGCGAUCGUCGUCGAUCGCCGUCGAGGCCCGUGAAGCGUAGUGGGAGCGCUGAGCUUCGGUCGCCAUGGCUGUCGAGGUCCCUUUCCACCGUCCACCCGUUUCCACCGUCCAGGCCCCCCCUUCUUGAUUUGAGUGGCGGGUCAGUUCAGACGCACUGCUGAGAAGGAAUAACCGAGAUCGGCACACAUUUAAACCGUCGGUGAGCCCAAGAGCACUCACGGAGAUAUGCACGCGGAAGAAA